ensembl:lncRNA
GGGGUGUAUAUAUAUAUAAAAAAUAAUAAUACAGGCUCAUAAGUAGAGCAUGAAGCCCAACUUUCCUUUACAUGUAUUAUUUUUUUAUAAUAAAUUGAGCCUCAGUCUAUAUCGUGCUGGUGCGAUGAUUUGCACGGGUAUUUUAGAUUUAUACAAAUGUCUUAACGUUAUAAGAGAUCUUAAAAACAUUUCCCAGGUGCAUUAAACCUCGUUAUUGUUCCGCGUUCUCCUCACAGAACGACAAAGAAUCUAAACACACUUCUUAUUUUAAUGUGUAGACCCCAGAACACUUGGUUCUAGCUUUCCAGUGGAACUGUUUUUCUAUACACAACCUCUAAGAACCCUUCAGAGUGCUAGAUCCACCUGUGUGUACACAGAAUGUAGGCUAUUGUUAGAGUCACACAGACUACAUGUGAGUGUAAUGAGAGAAGUGAAAGCGUAAGGUUAUGUGCUUUGCUCUCACUCCUCCUGGGGAUUUCCAGGGUUAGAUAGGGAAAAAACGCACUCCUGCCAGGAUUAGCGCAUAAACACACCACGCAACAGAACUGGUUCGAACCCGGUACACAUCCCACACCUGCACAUUAAAGGGUUAAAGGUGUGUCUGCAUUUUAAAUGUAAGCAUGUAGAUGGUGCAGCUUAUUUUGCAUUUAUUUAAGAAUUCAAGUGGAUUUCAAACCUUCACUGAAGUUUAAAGAUGAAGUUUGUAAUGUGUUUCUAAACCUGUAUACUUUACAAUAUUGCCCCUUUUCCACAAAAGGCAACCCAUGAUGCAUUGUGGCAUACAUAGAUUUAAGGAUUGACUAUGUUUUCAUCGUUAUUCAUUUCUCCUCAGCAGAUAUCACAAGCUACAGCUAAUUGUGUUAGGUAGUGAGUAAUCUUCACUACCAGAUUAUUUUUGUGCUAAAUGAAUUUAGUUAAAUGAAUUAGCCAGGAUAGAACAUCUAGCCUGGCUAAGUUUAGUGUAAAAAAAUAUUUAAUCAAAGGCAAGAAAAGGCCAAAUUUCAUGUGGUGUAAUGAAGGUAAAAGUCAGAAAAGGCAGGAUGGUUUCUGUAAGUUAGAAUAGAUGAUUGAGGAACAGUUUGAAUGUUUGAUUUAAAUUAUGUGGUCCAAUCAUCAUAUUUGGUUUAAUGGUCUUUAUUUUUGUUUAGAGUUGUAUGUACUCUGAAUAGCUGUGAGAGGAGAGAGGAGUCCACAUGGAGUUCCCAAAUACACAAUGUGAUUUUAAAAGCCUUCUAAUAUAAGUACUGUAAUCUCAACAAUAACAGAACGGGGUAAAGGAGUGGACUGAGGUAGCGGUGUGGAACUUGGUAAAGGUGUAGAACAUGGUAAAGGGGUGGACUGAGGGGGCGUGGAACGUAAUGAAGGUGAGGACUGAGGUAAAGGGGUGGACUGAGGGGGUGUGGAACGUAAUGAAGGUGAGGACUGAGGUAAAGGGGUGGACUGAGGGGGCGUGGAACGUAGUGAAGGUGAGAACUGAGGUAAAGGUGUGGCAUGAGGGGCCGUGGAACCUAAUAAAGGUGAGAACUGAGGUAAAGGUGUGGCAUGAGGGGCCGUGGAACUUAAUAAAGGUGAGAACUGAGGUAAAGGGGUGGACUGAGGGGGCGUGGAACGUAGUGAAGGUGAGGACUGAGGUAAAGGUGUGGCAUGAGGGGCUGUGGAACCUAAUAAAGGUGAGAACUGAGGUAAAGGUGUGGCAUGAGGGGCCGUGGAACCUAAUAAAGGUGAGAACCGAGGUAAAGGUGUGGCAUGAGGGGCCGUGGAACCUAAUAAAGGUGAGAAUUGAGGUAAAGGGGUGGACUGAGGGGGCGUGGAACGUAAUGAAGGUGAGGACUGAGGUAAAGGGGUGGACUGAGGGGGCGUGGAACGUAAUGAAGGUGAGGACUGAGGUAAAGGGGUGGACUGAGGGGGCGUGGAACCUAAUAAGGUGAGGACUGAGGUAAAGGGGUGGACUGAGGGGGCGUGGAACGUAAUGAAGGUGAGGACUGAGGUAAAGGGGUGGACUGAGGGGGCGUGGAACGUAAUGAAGGGGUGGACUGAGGGGGCGUGGAACGUAAUGAAGGUGAGGACUGAGGUAAAGGGGUGGACUGAGGGGGCGUGGAAUGUAAUGAAGGUGAGGACUGAGGUAAAGGAAAGGGGUGGACUGAGGGGGCGUGGAACGUAAUGAAGGUGAGAAUGAAGGGACUUGGAACCUAAUAAAGGUGUGGCCUGAGGGGGUGUGGAAUGUUUUAUAAAGGUGUGGACUGAGGUAAAGGUGUAUGUUGAGGCGGUGUGUAAUCGUGUUUUAAUUCUUAUGAGUUAUCCCUCUGGGGAACACAGGAUUCUGUGUAGAAUUCAUACAACAAAGUAAGAAAUCUUGAACUGCGUUUUUUUUUUUUCUUCUUUCCCUUUUUUCUCUCUGUGUGUGUGUGUGUGUGUGUGUGUGUGUGUGUGUGUGUGUGUGCGCACACUGUUAAAGCCGAUAAUCCUUACAUUUCCUCAGCUGUAUUACGAAGUUUUUAAAGGUAUGGUAACAAGGCUGGUGAUUCCUGUCUGAAAUAAAAGUCAUGUGAUCGUGUGGUAAAAGUCAUGGUGGUUUAUAGAGCUGAAUAAAGUGGGCGUUACUCCAUGGUCUAAUGUCGUAAUGAGACGUGUGGAUCGGUGACAGUUUGGACCGUAGUAGAGUAGAGGACUCUGUGUGUAGUGUAUAAUGUAAUCAGAUAUUUAAUCGUAUAUUUCCUUUUUCUUCAGAGAAAUGAAAUGUAGAAGUGCAGGAGCUCUAAUAGAGUGCGGAGUGUUUGCCGUUUUGUGGAGUGUAUUUUCGUGGAGUGUUUGCCGGCUCUCUCAGGUAUGAAGUAAUGCUGCUGGAUAUUGUGGCAUAGUUAAAUCUGAUCUGAUCUCCUGCUCGCUCAUCUGCAAACUGGCCUAACCUGUCCUUAUGAGCAACGUCCUUACCUAGUAUACGAGGUGACUGGCUCAUAUCCUACUGAACAGGUGAGCUCUCUCGGAUCUCCUUUCUGCGAGAUGUUUUCCGUGUCUCUCCUCUUGUACGAACUCUGCGUUAGAAUAUAGAUCGUCUAAAACUGCCUCAGCGUGGUUUCGUAACAUGAAUGAGCAAUGUCCGCUCACACACACGGCAUUGUCCAGGGCCGCAACCUAAUAACGACUGGAGAGAGGUCUGGCCUGAGCUUCUCUCUGUGAGGCAGAAUUGCUUUUUUAGGCAUUUGGAGGGACAAACCCAUGUGUAUUUUGGGGAAUACUUUAUUAUGGGUGUCGGAUAAAAGCAGGGGAGUUGAGGGGCGGGGAACUGCCAGAGGAAUUCCCUUAAUCCGAGUGUUCAGUGGUCUAAAACUGAGCAACUUGCACACGUCCUCUUUGUGAAUGAUGUCAUAGAGUGUUACAGCUUCACUUCCUGUUGAGACGAAGAGUGAAUACGAUGUGUGUUCAGUGUUGUGUACGAGACGUGCGGCUGCAGAAGCGUAUAAGCGGAAGUGAUUGGUCCCGCUCAGAGCUUUUGUUAAUUAAAACGAUUUGAUCUUUGCGUGUUGCGUCGCUUCAUAAACCGGUCCAACGACCCGGGAAGGUUCAGAAUGACGCUUCGGAUGCUUUUCUCAUUUUAGUGCAUCACUUCAUAGCUUUAGACGUGCAUCGGUGUGACUAUGACGGAUCGGGUGUGCGUUUAAUAUCAGGUAACUUGUUUCUAGCGUGGUGUUUUGAUUGAGAUGUGUUGUGGAGCUGAAACGGUGGACGGUUUUGUUUCUGCACUGGAAGGAAAAUAGCUCCGAACCAAAAUUACAGUGAUUAGAGAAAUCACGCUUAAAUGCGCGCGUGUGUGUGUGUGUGUGUGUGUGUGUGGCAGCAGUGUGUUGUACACUGAAGUGGUUUUGGUGUUGCAGGCUGCUAUUAGAGCAGAGGAUUUUAAAAGAUCUGUUUUGAAGCUUGGCGACGUAGCAGUGCGUCUCUUCUGUCGUAUGAUUGUGGCUCUAACCCUAAGCAACCGCUGAGCUCUCAUUUUCUACGUACUUUCAUGGCCUGAAGCAGCGAUUCCAGACACAAUUUAACUGGGAUGUUCUCCGUUCUAUGCAAAUUUGAUAAGGCUCUGUAAAGCAACACAUCCAGGUGUGACGUUUCUUCAGCUCCAUGCUCACAAUUUUAGUUCCUGCAGAAAUGGGAUAAAAUUGUAUAACCUCCAUGAUUAAAUUUCUUCAUGUUAUAUACACGCUCUCAUUAAAUGUGUACCGAACCGUUGGGAAGGAAAAGAAAGCUCGGAAGGACGUCGCGGAGAUCUUUGGUGCCUCUGGUGAGGGUAUGUAACUAGUACAGUUAGCUCAAUUUGCCAAUCUAAUCCGAGACCGUGCUAGCUCCCUCUGCCGAGAUAACAGCUCUCGGUCUUCUCCUGUGAUGCCUUGAGGUUGGAGAAUACAUGGCGAGGGGUCUGUGUUGUGUUUGCAAUUUUAAACAUUUGAAACUAUCUCAAUCACGUGCUUGUUUAGUUUUAUUUUAAUGAAAGGAGAGUAAAAAUAAAUCUUUUUUUUAUGCAUACUUCAGACAGGAAAGCCACUUUUCCGUGCACGUUUCUGAUUUUGUGAAGCUUCGUGUCCACGUUGAGGAGAACCGGUUUGCUUCGCGCCGCCCCUCGUCCUGCACUCGUACACCACAUGAAGGACGUUCUGUAGUACACACGUCAGGAUUGUUUGUUUGUUAUGUGAUACGCGUGUGUAUGAGUGUCGUGCGGUUAGUGAAUUUUGCGUGCGUGUGCUGAUCGUACUUGGUCAUUAGAUGGACAAACAUCACGUGAGAGGAGCUUCACGUGUACGGCUGUAGCGUUGUCGGCCGCUCCGUUUGAAGCCGGAGCCGCCGGCGGUGGUUUCCCGUCUUCCCUGCAG